UGACCAGAGUCUGGCUCCAGGCCGCUUGAGGACUCUGUGCCCAGAGCCACGCCCACUGUUGGGAUUCCUGCUCCUUCCACACUCUCCCGGGACCUACCAUCUUACCCCCCCAGCCAUUCAGUGUCUGCACUCACCGUGAAGUUUGAAGCACCCAUCUCUUAUCACUUGAAAUUGGGAAAAUUUGGCUUUGAGUCUUGUUCAAUGGACCAGACAAGCAUCCACUGUAUGAAGUCAGCAUGUGGAGCAGAGAGGAGGAGAUGUGCAGACAGCAGCAAAGGCAGAGAGAACUCGAGUUCCCAGCAGCUCGCUCGGGAGAAGGUGAAGGGCAGCCCAGCACUUGGCAGCUCAGGAAUCAGAGCAGGUGCAUGAGAUCGAGUCAGUGCCGCAUCCACCGAAUGGAACAGUGUGAUGGUCACUCAUUUACUUUUAUGGGGAACUUUUUAUAUUCUGACACCGCUUUGCCAGUGACAGGACCGAUUAUAACCUUUCCUUUUAAAGUAAAGGCAAGUGGAAAUGGUGAGUCGAUUUGAGGGGAAAGAUGUAAGUAAUCACAGAGGUGAUAUAAGCAGGGCAACGUCAGAGAGAUGGUACAAGGAGGGCUGGAGACAAAACAAGGCAGUAGCUCCAGGCCUCUGGACCAGCGCUCCCAGCUCUGACAGUGACUGUGAACUGAUGUUCUGUCUGUCCACUGCUGCUCUCACUGCAGCAUCCAAGAUGUCGCACACCCUUAACACAGCCCUACUGUCACUCUGGGCUGAAUCCUGGCUCGGCAACCUCGAUCCAAUUAUUCAAAAUGCUUGGGUGGAGCAAUAAAUGCUUCAUUACAUAAAAUAUAUCUAAAAGGGGUCUUACCUACAAAAGUCAAUGAUUUCCUGCUCUGACAAUGAACUUGGAAUAAAGGGCAGCAGUUUGUGAUUUAGCUGCUCAAAAAUAGCUCUUCCAACGGUGGCCACACAUGUGAUAAAGCACAGUGACCGCUGAUGAGCUCUGCACUGCACACGGGCACGACCUCCACGCUGCAGGUUCUCGAGAGGGGGAUGCAGUCAGCCAGGGGACUUGCUGAGCACGGACAUUUUGGCCCAAGGACCUGUGUGUGUGUCCCGAGGCUCCUGUAAAACUGCGCUGUGCUGGAGUACGGCCCAGAGGCUGUGACCACUCAUCUCUUCUGAAAUCAGAGCCCACCAUGGCUACUUCAGCUUGGGGUCAGCAGGAGUCAUCCACUCUGUGUCAUCUGGCCUUUAGGUACGGGAGUAUUAUUUGUGAGGGUUUUUGCGAACUGGUUUUUUUUGUGCUUGCUUUUUUGUUUAAUUUCAGAAAUGAAGGUGGUUAUAUGGUGAAGACGCUAAUAAAUGGAAAGGUUCGGAAAUCCGUAGGGUCGAAAAAACUGAGAGGCUAGUUAGGAGAGGGUGGCAUGUCAGCGGAAGACCAGAAUCUUUUCUUUUUUUUUUUUUUCAGAGCACUGGGCAGAAAUUACAUUGCGUCAACACCUGCCGCGGGCCUUCGUGAUGCUUUGUUUUAAUUAAAACAGUCGGAUUCCCCUGGUCCGCACCAGUUUUAAGUCGGCUGCUAGGCGCCGGCCAAGGCCAGGCGCAGCGCAGAACUGUGGUCCCGGCGGGGGAUGAAAAGACCAGAAUCUUAGACGUUUAGACAGAGCUGGGCAGCCUACAGGAGACUUGUCCUUGCUUUUGCUUCUCCAAAAGUGACUCCCUUUGCACCCAGUUGCUAAAUUGUUAUUCCCGGAUAACCCAGGAGAGGAAGGAA